rnacentral:rRNA from 1 species
CCGCGGUAAAACCGGUUACUCCUACGGGAGGCAGCAGUGGGGAAUAUUGGACAAUGGGCGCAAGCCUGAUCCAGCCAUGCCGCGUGAGUGACGAAGGUCUUCGGAUUGUAAAGCUCUUUUGGCGGGGACGCGGUACCCGCAGAAUAAGCCCCGGCUAACUUC